AACAGAACAGAGGAGCAACAACAACAUUAGAGGAUUUUACCACCAAGGAAAUUAUUUCAGUCCAGUUAUUUGAAUUCAGGGAAUUAGUACUCAAUUUCUUUCAUGGCAAAAUGGUUUAGAAGGCAACUACAGCAGCUGCAUCUGUGGACUGAGCUUUUACUGUAUGAAAUUAAAUUUGUAAAACUCAAUUAUGGAACUUUGGGGCACAGCUAGAUUGACCAUCAUCGACUGCUCAGUUCAUGGCAAUUAUUAGGAUUGCAAAUACUUAUUUUCAGACUCAAAUCAUUCCUCGGUCUGUAAAAUAUUGCAAAAUAAUAUUUCCAAGGUGAUGUUCUUCAAAAACUCCAAGGUGUUCCAUCUACACAGAUAUAAAAGAGAGAAAAGCUGCAUACUCUCACAUUUUAGAAGAUAGAAGCUUCAAAUGUUAAUUAAUAUUAUAUUAAUACAUUAUUUAAGAGACUGAUAAUCAAAAAAGUUGUUAAAUAAUUUUUGACAGCACAAUUUGCUUUCACUGUACAGUCACGAAGAUGCUAUUAUUUCUAACUGAUACUGAUCCAUAUCCAAUGCAGUGGAUGUACAGUAUUUAUUUAAGUGGCAUAAUGUUGCCUCAUAGGUGAAGAGCAUUGUUUCUGCUUAUUUGAAGGCUCUUCUCAAGAGAGCCUACUCUCACUGAGACCCUGCUUUCAUUGUCUCUCUCUUCUACUGAAGGAUAAAAUUCACUCUGGUGCUGGUUUCAACAAGCAAACACUGACAAGAGGCAUACAGUACAAUCUUCCCUUGUCAACGCUGCUGCCAACAUUCAAGCUUAGAAGGUACUUUGCAUUCUCCAUUUAUGUAACUUUGCAGCACCAGCUGGGAUCUGCUCCUCUGUCAAAGAAAACACUUGCACAACUGAUCGACAUUGGCAUAUUCUGCUCCUGUGGAGGCCAAGGACUCCAAUUUUUGCUGGUAAAGGGAAUAAAUUUGCUUUUGUUAAGCUAAGAUGGGAAACAACAUGUCUCAAGUCUUAAGGGCUGUGAUUCAUGUGUGUGUGUAACCAUCCAACAGAAGAGGACUGCUGUGAACAAGAAUGUGUACAAACCAAAGUUAAAUUGAAUUAAAAAUCAGUUAGGUAUUUAAGGGCAUUCUCACAGUUGUUUUGUUAUGCAAGUUAUUUGUCUUUUUACGUAAGAUUGAUGUGAAAACAAUCAAUGUGCAAGCAAAAUUAUACAAUACGAUUUAUUUAUUUAUUAGUUUUAUUUUUGUUGUUGUUGUUAACAACAGAUCAAAAAAAGUUAGAGCUUAUAGUGAUCACCGGUUUCUAUAGUUCCCAUCAGCCUUAGUGUCUUUCAGCUCACUGUUUUGGUUUUAUGGCCCACAGCUUUACAUAUUAAGUUUUGUCGGCGUUUAUAUUGACUCCCUAUUAAACUUUCACUGUGCAAUUAAACUUUCACUGUACAAUUCUGUGGACAACCCGGUGUGGAUUUUUGCGGAAAUAGGAGGGCUCGAUUCAUGCUCCAUUUACGGUAAACAGGAAGUGCACCUUUCAGACGGGGCUGAAAAUGGCGCGUAUUCAGGCUUGUCAUAGGUCACGUGAUUUCCUGCAUAACUGUACAUACCACGAAGCGGCGUUUCAUCGUGCACGUCCUUUCCUGCUUACUAAGCCCCCGGACACUAUGGCCUCAAACGUCCCAUCAUCAGAUGUUAUUUCAUACAUUUAAUAAGUACAGGCGCAGCUCAUAACCCUCAGCUACACUAGUUGCAGCCGUGGGAUUUCUUCCUGCUUUUAUGCCCGUCUAAGUGCCGUGUGUGAGACAGACGAAGCGGGGUUUUAGCCUUUUAGCUAGCUCUGCCUAGCUUGACUUGCACAAUGUGCAGUUGCCAUAACGUUUGUUAUCUGAACAUAUUAUUCCGUGUCAAUAUGACAGAAGAUUACUGAUGUUGUGGUAACCCAACUAAAUCGGCAUGUAAGCCAACUUGACAGUGAAGGCGGUCGUCUGGACCCGGGGAUUUAAACGGUUUUCGUCAUUGCUUGCCGUGACUGCUCUCAAGGUGGAUCAUGGUGAACUGGCGGUUGAGGAUAUUCCCAUGUCGUUUGGACGCCUCGUUGUCUGAGUCUGUUUUAACGUCUGAGUUUGGAGCAUCACAUGAACUGGAUCACCUGGCCACACCACACCUCCUCUGCAGACACUCGUUUGACUCAACCAAAGGAGUUACACAAUUGCUGUCUUGCUUUUAAUCAUAAAGACUGAAGCAGAGUUUGCUCGUCUUAUAUCUGAAGACCCGAAGGGCUCCCUUUUUGCUGAGUUUGACUAGCAUCUGGCAAGGUGCUUUGAGCAUGAUGAUGACCUCUACACAAAGGAAGAGGACAGUUCUUCUGCUGAGACCUCCUCAUUUUCUCAAGGAAGAUCCCUUGUGUUUCUUCAAGAUUGGAGGCUACAGAUGAGGACAUGUUCACUGAAGGGACUAAAGUUGGCAACGAUGGGUCUUCUUACCUUUAACAUAGAUUAUCCUAGGGAGCAGAGGUACACCUUUGAAGUUAUUCAGAAAGUUCUCAUGAACACAGAGAGGGCAGUGUUGACAGACAGACUGCAGAACAUCUUGCAGACUUGGGCUUUACCACUUUGGCAGUUGCAAUCAGUACAAGGCUGCAUGGUAUUUCAUGCCCUCUCCCAGUGUUGAUGAGCACUUUCUAAUUGACUUCAAAGGUGUACCACUGCUCCUUUAGAUUGUCACUUUUGAGCUUUUAGGUGAGACCAAUCAGCGGAGCAGUGGUUCAUUCAGUAAAGAUUUUCAACUCCCCUUAACCACCCGACAUUUUGGACAACUUUGACAACAAUGGACAUCCCACAAACCACUGCAUGUUUUACUUUUGUACAUAAAAUCUUUAUUAAGAAAUUUGCCCCACUGACCCUUAAGUAACUAAAAAAAAAAAAGAUAAUUAUACACACUUUGAAAUCAAUAAAACAAAUUAACACCAACAAUUUAAAUGCAAGCUUCUCUAUUAAGUAACCAUAACAUAUUAACCAAACAUCAGCCAUAAAAAGGCAAAAUAUAUAAAUACAUUUUUUUUUUAAAUCCAGUAGUAUCAUAAACUGUUCUGCUCAUUGAUUAACUGUCUUGCACACAAUGGUCUAAGAAUUGUGGCUCAGAGUUUACACUAGACUUUUUUUUUUUUUUUUUUUUUUUUGCUCCAGCAGCUGUAUUUUAUUAAAAUACUGUUGUAGGUGAGGGAUGUAACAGUUGUGCUAUAUGCUAAAAUGUGAAGUCGACCUUAGCCACAUGACCAGUGAAUAAUCUCAUUGUUGAGAGCAGGCAUAACCAAACGUUUGCAUUAGUCUCAAGAUGGAUAACUGGUAUUUUUGAACCUGGGCCUCAUUUUCCCAUGUUUUGGUUUGUAAAUGAUUGUUAGGGACAAAACUAUAAAUUGGUGCAGUACUGCACAAGCAUGGUGUACCCAGAAAUUGCCCACAUCAAAGCACAUCCACUCAACUGCUUCUUUUUGCUACUGACAGGCUAAAAUUGUGAAUGUAAGAGUCAUGAUGGAUUGGAUUCCUACAGCGGUGGACCUUUUUAUUAGACAGUAAGUUCCUUUUCAUUUAACCAGAAAAUUUGCUGUAUGUCAUUACCAAACUCUACUGACAAAAACUAAUUUCAUUUAGCAGAACACAGGAGAUGCUGGAAUACCACUGCCUCGAUCAGUUAGUUUGUAUGUGAUGUUGUGUGACUGUCAGUAGUAGAAGUAUUCAUAUCCUUUACAGAACAAUACCACACCAUAACAUAAACAAACUUACAGAUCCCAUCAGUGGUAUUCCAGCAGCUCCCAUGUUCAGCAAGGUAAAAUUACUGUUUUUGUCAAUGGAUGACAAUCUGAGCCCAUCAGUGGCAAAAACAAAGCACUUUAGUGAAUGUAUGUUCGACAUUGCAGCACAACUUACUAUACUAUAACAUUUUAUCUCAUUUUUCACAACAUACUACUUUGACAUUUUUAUCAUAAUUUUUACGCUAUACUUUACUGUGACAUUUUUUGACACCAUACUAUACUAUGACAUUUUUCACAUAAUUCUGACGCCAUACUAUACAGACAUUUUUUUUUUUUACUAUUUUUCAUUCCUCACUAUACUAUGACAUUUUUAUCAUAAUUUUGAUACCAUACUAUACUAAAGCAUUUUUUCAUGGUUUUUGACGCUAUACUAUAACUAUGAUUUUUUUUAUGUUUUUUGACGCCUUACUAUACUAAGGCCUAAGUUCAAAAACUACCAGUCAUCCUUCUUAAAUAUAGAUGUAUGUUCUUCAAAUGCUUUGCUUUUUCUCUGUUGUUUUAACAAUGAGAUAUUUGCUUAGUGUUUGGUCAUGUGACUAGGCUCUACCCAACAUAUUAGCUUUUAGCACCAUCCCUACACGUCAAAGCAGACAUCCCUCAAGGAGUUAAAUUGUGCUGGCUACUUUUAAUAUAAUACAUUUGUUAGAAUAUAAUUUUAAUGGCCAAACAAGAAGUCUAGCAUUAACUCUGGUGUUGGCAAACUCUUUAGGUUAGAUGUAAAAAAAGCAAGAAAACUACAUCAGCCAGUCUGGGGAAAACAAUAACUACAUUACCCUCAAGUAAUGCACAACCACAGUCCUCUCUGUGCAGAAGAACACCACCUCUAUUGAUCUGGUGCUGACUGCUGAGUCCACGUGGAACGUCAUUCAUGUCUGGUUCAUCAGAAUGCCACAGCUAAAGACAACAAAAGAGAACGGUUUCCUGUUACUCCAAAGUUCCAAAGGCUGACAGACCUAUCAGGAGACAUUAAGAAAGCCACAAACACAAUUAAUCACAAUUCGUACAUGUCACUUCCUUUCUGUCAAUCAAGAUGAAACAAAACAAAACACAUGCACAUCUUAAGUGUACUUUGUGUUCACGUAGAACACAGCAGUUGGUUAGGAUAAAACUGAUAAUUGGAAAUUUGUAUUUGUUUUUAUUGUUCCUUUUUUUGUUUGUUUUUGUUUUUUUAUUUACGUGUAGCUUUUUUAAAUAUGAUGCUCAGAACAAAUGUCAUGGCAAAGUAAUAAAAUUUAUAUUGUAAAAGAAAUUCACAACCAAAAAUAUUAGACAAAAGGUAACAAGUGAUUCAUAAUCAACAUUCUCACACUGUUUGAAAUUUUUAUGACCUAUUAAGUGUCCUCUGCA